rnacentral:rRNA from 1 species
AUUGAACGCUGGCGGCAGGCUUAACACAUGCAAGUCGAGCGAGCGGCGGACGGGUGAGUAAUGUCUGGGAAACUGCCUGAUGGAGGGGGAUAACUACUGGAAACGGUAGCUAAUACAGCAUACCAUCAGAUGUGCCCAGAUGGGAUUAGCUAGUAGGUGGGGUAAUGGCUCACCUAGGCGACGAUCCCUAGCUGGGCUGAGAGGAUGACCAGCAUCACGUGUACGGAGACACGGUCCAGACUCCGACGGGAGGCAGCAGUGGGGAAUAUUGCACAAGGGGCUCAAGCCUGAUGCAGCCAUGCCGCGUGUGUGAAGAAGGCCUUCGGGUUGUAAAGCACUUUCAGCGAGUAGGCGUUACUCGCAGAAGAAGCACCGGCUAACUCCGUGCCAGCAGCCGCGGGAAUUC